GACAAUGAUUCACAGCAACAAGAUUUUGAUCGUGUGUAUUGUUCAAUAUAACCAAACACUUGGAAAACAAAAUGAUCAUCUUAUUCCUCAGCAUUACUUUGAACACAAUUCUGGUUUCAGGUUCCUCUCUCAGUGACAACGUCCUCCAGACUCCAGCUGAUGUGUUCAACAAACCUGAUGAAACGUUAGAAAUCAACUGUAGACACAGUAUUCAGAACUACAACCGAAUCCUCUGGUACAAGCAAUCGGACAGACAACUGCAGCCCCUGGGAUACAUGUUUACAACCAGUGGAUUCCCAGAGGCUGGUCUGGGAGUGAAGAUAGAAGGGAGUGCAAAUAAAGACCAAAACUGCACAUUAACAAUAGAAGAACUCAGCCUGAACAGCAGUGCAGUGUACUUCUCUCACAGUGCCUCCGUGCACCUGGAAUAA